rnacentral:lncRNA from 1 species
AGGCCACCCUGGAGCACCUGGGGCUGGCCCGGUGUCCCCAGGUGAGCGAGAGGGGCCUGGCCACGCUGCACCACCUCAGGCAGCUGCGCUCUCUGGACCUGGCGGGGCUGUCCCGGUCUCUCUCCGGUUGUUCCCCGGUGUCCCCCGGUCUCUCUCCGGUUGUUCCCCAUUGGUCACGGUGUCUCUCCGGUUGUUCCCCAGUG